CGCAAUGGCACCAAAUAUAGACGGCAUUCAGUGGGCGUGGAGGUGAAUACAUUUGCAAAGACCAUAUUUGAUUUAUGUCAGAAUACACUGAUGACCAAAUGUUGGUUCCCUUUAGGAAUUCAAGCUUAAGAAGCCCUGUAGCUGAUCAUUCCCUGCAAACACAAGCCUAUAAAGAGACAGUCACCCUGUUUGGACGUCAGACAACCAGCGGUAGAUCACCAAUUACACUUCGAAAACAGCACAAGUGUUGGAAGCAAGAAUGACAGACAGACCAACAGUUGCAGUCACAAGCCUUGGUGGAUCGAAAUACAAAGUUUCAUACACAACGUAUCCACCAAAUGUACGCCCUAACAACGCAGUAGUGAAGGUGAUUGGGGGCGGUGUGGUAGAGUUCAAAGCAAUGGUUGGGAAUCAACCAUCUCACGAUGCGUCGAAGCCCAUUCCAGGAACGACAACCAUAUUAGGCCAGGAAACAAAAGGGGAUACCCACGUCGUGACGCUGGAAUGUUCGUCCGACCCUUCCCAAUAUAUUUUAUAAGUUCAUUACUUGUUACUGGUUCGUGGAUUGUUAGAAUAAUGUGCACACUUGGACCGACGGAUUUUACCUUUCACAAAUAGCAAUAGGGCUGUUCCACAUAAUGUCUGAGGUUCGUAUCGAUCUGUUCUUUUCAGCAAACAUGUGUCAUCACAUUCCAAUUUAACACCAGAAUGUGUCAUUACUUUACUUGGUUCGGCUGCUUGUAGAUGCUUGUCGUGUUUGGUAAUAAUGUCUGUCAUGUUUGAGUACUUCUAUGUCUUUUAUCCAGCCACUUUAUUUAUUUGAAGCUUUAUUCUUUUUCAACCACUACACAACAUUGGACGUAUUUGAUAAUUGUUUUAGCAACGAACAAAAAUGUUCAGUAACGGUAUGUAAUAAUAACAUGAUGCAGUCACGCACAAAUUAACACAUUCAAGGUGUUAUUUACUUUGGUGUCUGAUUUUGCUCGUUCACGAAAUGUUCUUUCUCUCAUAAAUCUAAUAAUAAUACAAUACAUGUCUAUUAUCUCAAAUGAAAUUUGUUUACAUACUUGACAUUUUUCGUCAUGUCUGAUAUGCUCUAUUCAUCAUUUUAAAUGAUUCAAUUGAUUAAUGUGUUCAAUUUUGUGCUGAAGCUUGUAGUGUUUAAAUCAGUUAACGAAAUAAUGAGUCGCAGUAAAACUCAUGUCGUUCAAUAUAUGAAUAACCUAUUUCAACAUUGAAGAAUAAAGUUUAAUCGCGUGUGUUCCAAUAAUCGAUCUAGCACAAUGGCUUUGUCAGAAAUUAUACACUUUAACCGUUCCGAUACCAAAAUUCAAUACUUGCAAUACUGAGGCGUACAAUUUACAGUAUUUGUGAUCUAAAUAUUAUAAUACUUAUGAAAUACAAUUUAAACUGAAAUGUUGAAGUUUGUUAUUCCUUGGUAUAUAUGUGGUACGUCAAUCAUUUUAUGUAUUAGAAGAAAUAAAAUUUCAACUGCAA